AAAAGCUAAAAAUGAAGGCUUAAUCGAUAAAAAACAGAAACGAAGACGAACAUUGCCGCCAUCUGUCGUCAAAGUUAACAACUACACCAGACCAAAACAAGAUGGAAGCUGUGAUACAAAUACAGUGAAUUUGAUAUGUUAUCUCGCAUUUGCCGGUUUCGUCUUGUGUUUAUUAAAGAUAUAUCAUCUCAAAGGCUAUAUAGUACCGGAAGUACAAGUAAGAAUGGAAGCAAAUAUGUUAAACCAGCAAAGGGACUUAAACAAUACUUUGAAAAUAAAUUUAGCAGAUUUGUUAAAGGAUACGAAAUCAUAUUACAGAAUAAAUUCCCCAGUGCAUUUAAAGUUUAUCAGGUAUUUUCUGUAGGAACCAAAGAAUUAUAUCGAGAUAUAAAAGAAUAUAUGAGAAUAUCUCAUGAUUUACGUUAUGGAAAGUCAGUAAGGAAUUUGACAAGAAGGGAAUUGGAAAUAUAUUUUCAAAUUCCGAAAGAUAUGAAAAAAGUUGUACCUGUUUUACUCAUUUCAACUCUUCCAUUUGUAAAUUAUGUUGUUUUUCCUUUAGCUUAUUUAUUUCCUCGUUACUUCUUAUCAUCACAUUUCUGGAGUUUGCAACAAAGGAUAGAUUUUGCCUUAAGUCAUCAUAAAAGACGAUUAUAUAAUUACCGUCCAGUGUUUCGUCAUCUUCAAGCCAAACUCUUGACCAUAAAUGAUAAAGAUUUAAAGGGAAAGUGGGCUAACAUUUUAUAUCAGAUAGGCAGUGGUGUUCAUCCACCUGUUAAUCAAAUUCUAGAUGUAAAGACAUUAUUUGUAAAUGAACCGUACAGCUUAAGAUCACUUAGCUCUAGUCAUUUGAGUGGGUUAUGUCGACUUCAUGGACUUUCUUCAUUUCCUGUUAAAAGUUCUCGUUUAUGGAAUCAUGCUGGUUUUAUAAGAGAAAUGGAUCUUGCAAUGGAACGUGAAGGAAUGAGUAUGAUGAGUUUAGAUGAAUUACGAAGGGUAACUUUGUUUUAGGCUUGUUUUAUGAGAGGAUUAAGCCCCUUAGGCCUUCACAGAGAUGAAAUGAUUACUUGGUUAAAUCAAUGGACCUUAGUUUCAAAAAAUAUAGAUAGUAGAUCUCUUUCCUUAUUGUUGCAUUGUCCU
rnacentral:misc_RNA from 1 species